rnacentral:rRNA from 1 species
AUUGAACGCUGGCGGAAUGCUUUACACAUGCAAGUCGAACGGCAGCACGGACUUCGGUCUGGUGGCGAGUGGCGAACGGGUGAGUAAUGUAUCGGAACGUGCCCAGUCGUGGGGGAUAACGUAGUGAAAAUUGCGCUAAUACCGCAUACGAUCUAUGGAUGAAAGCGGGGGAUCGCAAGACCUCGCGCGAUUGGAGCGGCCGAUAUCAGAUUAGGUAGUUGGUGGGGUAAAGGCCCACCAAGCCAACGAUCUGUAGCUGGUCUGAGAGGACGACCAGCCACACUGGAACUGAGACACGGUCCAGACUCCUACGGGAGGCAGCGGUGGGGAAUUUUGGACAAUGGGCGAAAGCCUGAUCCAGCCAUUCCGCGUGCAGGAUGAAGGCCCUCGGGUUGUAAACUGCUUUUGUACAGAACGAAAAGGUUUCUACUAAUACUAGGAGCUCAUGACGGUACUGUAAGAAUAAGCACCGGCUAACUACGUGCCAGCAGCCGCCGCGG